UACGAAGGGGGCUAGCGUUGCUCGGAAUCACUGGGCGUAAAGGGUGCGUAGGCGGGUCUUUAAAUCAGGGGUGAAAUCCUGGAGCUCAACUCCAGAACUGCCUUUGAUACUGAGGAUCUUGAGUUCGGGAGAGGUGAGUGGAACUGCGAGUGUAGAGGUGAAAUUCGUAGAUAUUCGCAAGAACACCAGUGGCGAAGGCGGCUCACUGGCCCGAUACUGACGCUGAGGCACGGAAAGCGUGGGGAGCAAACACGG
rnacentral:rRNA from 1 species